UACGUAGGGGGCAAGCGUUGUCCGGAAUCAUUGGGCGUAAAGCGCGUGUAGGCGGCUCGAUAAGUCCGCUCUGAAAGUCCAGGGCUCAACCCUGGGAUGCGGGUGGAUACUGUCGGGCUCGAGUCCGGAAGAGGCGAGUGGAAUUCCUGGUGUAGCGGUGAAAUGCGCAGAUAUUAGGAGGAACACCAAUGGCGAAGGCAGCUCGCUGGGACGUGACUGACGCUGAGACGCGAAAGCGUGGGGAGCAAACAGG
rnacentral:rRNA from 1 species